rnacentral:rRNA from 1 species
UGGGGAAUUUUGGACAAUGGGCGAAAGCCUGAUCCAGCAAUGCCGCGUGUGUGAAGAAGGCCUUCGGGUUGUAAAGCACUUUUGUCCGGAAAGAAAUCCUUGGCUCUAAUACAGUCGGGGGAUGACGGUACCGGAAGAAUAAGCACCGGCUAACUACGUGCCAGCAGCCGCGGUAAUACGUAGGGUGCAAGCGUUAAUCGGAAUUACUGGGCGUAAAGCGUGCGCAGGCGGUUUGCUAAGACCGAUGUGAAAUCCCCGGGCUCAACCUGGGAACUGCAUUGGUGACUGGCAGGCUAGAGUAUGGCAGAGGGGGGUAGAAUUCCACGUGUAGCAGUGAAAUGCGUAGAGAUGUGGAGGAAUACCGAUGGCGAAGGCAGCCCCCUGGGCCAAUACUGACGCUCAUGCACGAAAGCGUGGGGAGCAAAACAGGAUUAGAUACCCCUGGUAGUCCACGCCCUAAAACGAUGUCAACUAGUUGUUGGGGAUUCAUUUCCUUAGUAACGUAGCUAACGCGUGAAGUUGACCGCCUGGGGAGUACGGUCGCAAGAUUAAAACUCAAAUGAAUUGACGGGGUCAUAGCUGUUUCCU